UACAGAGGGUGCGAGCGUUGUCCGGAAUCACUGGGCGUAAAGGGCGCGUAGGCGGCGCGGUAAGCGUGCGGUGAAAGCCCGGGGCUCAACCCCGGGUCGGCCGUGCGGACUGCCGGGCUGGAGCACUGUAGAGGCAGGUGGAAUUCCGGGUGUAGCGGUGGAAUGCGUAGAGAUCCGGAAGAACACCGGUGGCGAAGGCGGCCUGCUGGGCAGUAGCUGACGCUGAAACGCGACAGCGUGGGGAGCAAACAGG
rnacentral:rRNA from 1 species